rnacentral:ncRNA from 1 species
GUGAGCCUUGUGAUGGGAAACCUUCCUGCACGGUUCAGAGAGCACUGAAUUGGAAUGAGGGGUUCAUCACCACAUCAUUGCAUGCAAGAGGAGCUAGUCAAAGCAAAGCACGCCAUGCAUAUUUCAGGAAUGAAGUGUUAAUAUUUUAUUUCUAU